GCGAGGAUUACAACUAAAGAAGCUGUUGCUGCUUGCUAGCACACUGGAGUCCAUUUUCAGUCAUAAUGAAAGAAAAAGGGACUCGGGAUGAAAGGAGGCCAGGAGAGCUGUUCUGAUUGGUCCACGCGGCUCGAGGAGGAAAUCUGAGUUUGGACUUCAACAGCUCGGCCGCCACUGUGACAUCAUCACCCUGAGACAUCCGUGCCAGUUUGCAAAGGGAUGGAAACACUCCCUCCGCCCGGCUGCCUCUGAGCUUCCCUCCGACGCCCUCGGGAGAACAAAGGGCUCGGCGCUAAUGCAGCGCGAACCAACCGGCUGCUCUCUGCGGCGAGCGAGGUGCCAAGACGCGCCGCCGGGGAAUCGACCUCCCGGCCUCAUGCAGACGUUGAAGCUCCUCCCCCUUUCAGUCAAAACCAGCGACCCGUCCCAUGAUGCAAUGCGGCGUGCAUAAAAAAAAGGAAAACAGCAGAGCGAUGCAAGACCUGUAACUCCAGCAGGAUGCUGAUGUAGAGUGAGAGAAUGUCCCCGAGGUUCAAUUACCGAGCCGCCACAGGUCCUCCUGGCCUUCAUCAGAGGAGCAGCGUGCCUCCUCCUCCUCCUCCUCCUCCGGGGCAGGAGGAGGAGGAGGAGGAGGUGCGUCUGCAUUGUCCCGAACCCUCGGGGGAGUAGCUUCCCUCUAAUGAUCAGA